ACUCCUACGGGAGGCAGCAGUGGGAAUAUUGCACAAUGGGGGAAACCCUGAUGCAGCCAUGCCGCGUGUGUGAAGAAGGCCUUCGGGUUGUAAAGCACUUUCAGUAGGGAGGAAGGUAGUGGUAGUUAACACCUGCAUUAUUUUGACGUUACCUACAGAAGAAGCACCGGCUAACGUCCUGCCAGCAGCCGCGGUAAUACGGAGGGUGCGAGCGUUAAUCGGAAUUACUGGGCGUAAAGCGCAUGCAGGCGGCCUGUUAAGUCAGAUGUGAAAGCCCGGGGCUUAACCUCGGAAUUGCAUUUGAAACUGGCAGGCUAGAGUCUUGUAGAGGGGGG
rnacentral:rRNA from 1 species